CGAACUCCUGACCUCAGGUGAUCCACCCGCCUCGGCCUCUGAAAGAUCUGGGAUUACAGGCAUGAGCCACCACACCCGUCAUUUUGAAAUUCUAUUCCCGUGUUUGUUCCUGUCUCUGCCACUAGAAAGUAAGUUCCAGGAGGGCUCAUCUCAUUCGUGGUUAUAUCCUCAGAUCCUAAAACAGAGCCUGGCACUCAGUAGGUCUCAAUAUCUUUUGAAUGAAUGAAUGACGUGCUUUGAGCCAAUGGCUAAGGGCUGUGGGUCUUGCCCUGCAAUGGGGUCUGAACAAGUCAUGGACCGUCUGGGAUCUUCCUCCGAAGACAGCGUCUGGGCUGAGGUCAGCUGCAGUGAAGAACAGUGCUCCUAGAAUAAGAGUCUAGACAGGGGAGGGGCUCAGAGAGCCCAGACUGGAUCUGCCUGAGAAGAACAGAGUUCAAGGGUCUCAGAGGACAGCCCACUUAUGCUAGCAUCUUGCAGAAAGGGCAGGACGGUGGGCCUCAGCUCUAUUUUCUAUUGUUGCAUAACACGCUGUCCCAAAACUUAGUGGCUUAAAAUGAUUUUACCAUAUCUCAUGCUUUUGUGGCAGGAAUUCAUUCAGGGACUGCUGGGCAGGGUGAUUCUUCUGCCCCAUGUGGCACUGACUGAGGUCACCUGAUGGCACUCGGCUGGCAGAUGGGCUGGUCUGGAGGACCUGGAUAGCCUCCUUCGUGAGUUGAGUGGUUUGGCAAGCCAGCUGCAAGGCUGGGCUCAGUGGGGCCUGUCUCCUGGAGCACCCAUGCCUGGCCUCUCCUGCACAACAGCUCAGGGCUCCUGAGGCUGUCAGAAGACCAAGGCAGACACUGCAAGGCUGCUUUGACCUGGCCUUGGGAGUCACAUAGCACCAUUUCCAUCACACCUUAUUGGCUACAGACCCAGUGAAAAGAAUGGUGUCCUCUCCUGACAUUGUCUCUCAGGGUCUGGAAGCUUUUCCUUCAAUCUUCGAGCUCCUCACCUAUCUGAACAUGCCAUUGCCUGCAACCAAGCUUGAGAACCAACAAACAGUGGCUGCGGGUUCUGGAAACACGCAGAGUGAUAGUUCAGAGUAAUGUUGAUAGUACAUUUUAUUUAGCCCAAUAUAUAAAAAAUAUUAUUUCAACAUGUAAUCAAUAGAAAAAUGAUGUGAUAUUUUACAUUCUUUUUAAAAAAUAUUAAGUCUUUGAAACCAGUGUGUUCUUACACUUACAGCCCAUCUGAAUUUGGCCCAACCACACUCCAGUGCUCCAAAGCCAUAGAUGGCCAGGGGCAUCCACACUGGACAGCACAGGGCUAGAGGCACUGGGUGGGCCCUUCUCUAUUUCAAGCUCAGUGGUCUGGAUGUGGGCAGAAAGAGGAGUCUGGAUCUGGGUUAAAGCUACAAGAACUCCCUCCCCAGGGUUAACACCAAUAUUUUCUGUAACACUCCCCUGCCGGUAUUGAAGAGAACAGAAAGAAGGGCAAAGGAAAGAAAAUAAACAAUUUAUUUUUCUUUUAUUGUUAUUUUUAGAGACAGAGUUUGGCUCUGUUGCCCAGGCUGGAGUGCAGUGGCACAGUCAUGGCUCAUUGCAACCUUGACCCCUGAGCUCAAGCAAUCCUUCUGCCUCAGCCUCCUGAGUAGCUGGGACUUACAGGCGUGAGCCACCAUGCCUGGCUAAUUUUUAUUUUUUAUUUUUGUAGCGAUGGAGGUUCACUGUGUUGCCCAGACUGGUCUCAAACUCCUGGGUUCAAUCAAUCCUCCCACCUCAGCCUCCUAAAGUGCUGGGAUUACAGGCUUGAGCCACCGUGACUGGCCCUUAUUUUUCUUUAUAUCCACAGCAUAUUAGUAAUAAUACACCAUUGUACACAACCUUGCCUCUCCUAAUAGAAAGCACGUUCUUUCUUUAUAGAAAUAAAAGAAAAAAACCCAAAUCCCAAGGCUCUGACUGAGGUCCAGCAAGGAUUAAGGUCAUCAGUUGGGGAACACAUGCAGAGGCAACAACAGCCACCGACUGAGUUGACUAUAUUCUCCAUGGGGCUGAGUAUGGACAAGGCGUAUUUCCCGGACGCCAUGGGCAGGGGGUCUCCAUCAAUGACGUGGAUAUUCAACACUACAGGGCCUGGCUCCCUGCUUGCGGAGGACUCAUGGGUCACCCUGAAUGGCCCAAACUCUCUGAUACCUGGCAGAGUGGUAAGGUAUUUGAAACAUCUAUUAGGAACAGAAAUAUUUAUAGUUAGUCAUUAUUUUCUUAAACCUUCUUGGUGGGUUCAGAAACAAGUGACCAUUUUGUGUAAAUUCAUUUAUUUUGGAGCAAUGAGAACACAUGGACAUAGGGAGGGGAACAUCACAC
rnacentral:lncRNA from 1 species